rnacentral:lncRNA from 1 species
CACCAACCAAAUCAUAAUAACCAACCUUAUUAUAAUAAUAAAUCUCAAUAUUACCCAAAUUACAAUUACAGACCUUCAUAUCAAUACCAACAAAAUUAUAGACCUUCCUACCCACACCAGCAACCAAUCUAUCCACAUCAACAAUAUCAAGGUUACUAUCCUUCUUAAGCUAGAGAUGCAAUGACAACACCACCACUACAGAACAUACAAAGACCACAAGCAUCACCAUAUUUUAAAACACCUUCAUCCAUAGACCAAACACAAGCUUGUCAGAUCUGUGACAAAAAAGGACACCUAGCAAAGCAGUGUCCAGACUACAAUAACUACUCAGCCCUAAACACUACUGAAACUAAAACAUCAUAACCUCCUUGCCUAACACAUCCAGCUCAUCAUCAGUCGACAACCCCUCAAGUCUAUACAGAACAAUAUCAGUUACCUUCACAACAUGAAUUGGCCAUGCCAGCUGCUUCUAUACAAGAGGACACAUCUUGGUGUCUUGACUCUGGAGCAUCCAACCACAUAACACCAGACUUGACUACCUUCACUGCAUAUGAGACAGCACCAGGUACUCAAUAUGUAAUUGUAGGUAGUGGUGAUUAUUUACCUGUGAAAUAUAGAGGAAAAAUUAUAAUCUAGAUGGUGUAUUGUGUGUUCCUGGACUAAAAAAAAACUUAAUGUCAAUUCAAAAAUUAUCUAGAGAUUUAAAUUGCAUUAUUGUUUUUAAUGACAAAAACUUUAUGGUUAAGGACCAGGGCACUAUGGAGACAUUAUUUUCUGACAAUAGCUCAGAAGGAUUAUACCACAUCUAUCCGGACAACCAAGCUUGUUAUGGAAUGAAAGCUUCAAAAGAGAUGUGGCAUGACAGAUUGGGACACCCAUCUGAAGCAGUUCUGAAACAAAUGGAGCCAGAGCUAAGGAUUAAAGAAUUAGAAGGAAAGAAUAAAGAAUUUUGCAAAGUAUGUCCCCCAGGAAAAGUCCAUCAAUUACCCUUUGAUAGAAGGAAUGUAAUAGCAUUAACUCCUUUAAAAAUAAUACAUAUCGAUCUGUGGGGUCCAUCCCCAAAGAAAUCUGUAACUAAUUUUAGAUUCUAUGUAUCAAUAGUUGAUGAAUGUACAAGGUUUGUAUGGUUUUACCCAUUCAAUAAUAAAUCAGAUUUUUUCUCUAUUUUUGUUAAGUAUCAUAAUUUAGUAGAAAGAUAUGUGAGACAGAAAAUAAGAGAAAUACAAACUGACCAAGGAGGGGAAUUUAUAAAUGGAAAAUUCAAGAAAUACCUAGAAGAGCAAGGAAUAAACCAUAAAAUGUCAUGUUCAUAUACCCCCCAACAACAUGGACUAGUAGAAAGGAGACAUAGACAAAUAUUAGAAGUUGGGAGAUGUCUGAUGAUUAAAUCUAGUAUACCACAUGAAUAUUAGCCAGAGGUAUUCUCCUCUGCUGUCUACUUAAUGAACAGACUAAAAACACCUACCUUAGACAACGAAGAGUCCUUAUGAAAAAUUAAUGAAUAGAUCACCUGAUUAUUCAAUAAUGAAAACCUUAGGAUAUGAAUGUUAUCCUUUAAUUUGUUGCCUAGAGAGGGAAGAAAUAAAUUGAUGCAUAAAUCCAAAAUGUGUGUAUUUUUAGGGUAUGCUACUCAACAGAAAGGGUAUAGGUGUCUAGAAAUAGAGACUAAAAGAAUAAGAAUAUGUAGAAAUGUGGUGUUUAAUGAAGACUCUUUUCCUUUCACUGAAUUUCAAAAAUCAGUGGAUAUUCAAACUAAACCAAUGGUUAUAGAACUAGUAUCACAAUCAAGGAUACCCAUUAUAAGACUAAAUUCAAAUAUAAAUGGGAAUAAAAAUGAAAUUUCAAAUGAAACAUCAAGCUUAGACAGGAUCCAGUCUGACUCUCUGUCUAAUAUAAAUUCAAUUCCAAAUUCAUCUCAAAUUGAGAAUAAGGGGUCCAAUAUAGGCAAGAAUCAUUCUGAUUCACUACCUAACAAUGAUCUAACUCAAAGACCAAUGAUAACAAUGCUGGAUCGAGAUCCGAUGCUAUAAGGGGGGAUAAUAGCAUCUUUUCGAUUUAUGCAAGUUAAUAGCGGAAUUACCUGCACACACUUAAGUACACAAAUGGUUGUAUAAUAAUAAUAGUAUAAUAUUGUUAGCAAUAUAAUACUAUUAUAUGAUUUAAAAGAAUAUAAUAUUAUAUCUUAUAAUAUUAUAUAUAUUGGACUUGCCUUUUACAAUUGAAAUUUACUACAGUAUAUGAAUACGUAGUCAACUUUUCAGAUGGUGUUUUAUAAACAACUAUAGUAUAUGAAUACUAAGUUAUAUUAUAAACACAAGUUAUAUUAUAGAGUAAAUGAUCAGAUAACUGGAUAUAUUGAUAAGCAAGUAAAUGACCAGAUAACUGGAUAUAUUGAUAAGCAAGUAAAUGAUCAGAUAACUGGAUAUAUAUAUGAUAAGUAAAUGCUUGAACAAAUAUAUGAAUAAGGAUUUAAAGCAAUAAAUAUAACCUCAGAUAGUUGACCAGAUAACUGGAUGAGGGAUCUGCGUAAAGUAGUCAACCUCUGUAUUUGACCAGAUAACUGGAAGAGGGAUCCUUUUCAAUUAAGUGUUGUUUAGUUGUUUUUAGAUGAAAGAUAAAAACUAGAGUUAACAAAGAACAACACAAGAGAUUUAUACUGGUUCACCCAAACAAGGGCUAGUCGAGUCCCGACCAACUGUCGGAAUUCACUCGCCUAAAGGUUAUGGCAAAACCUUAGAGUAUCAAGGAACUUUUAAAAACCACUCUAAGCUUUAAGGCUACUUCGCUUAGGAACCAGUCUUUUACGGGUAGACUCAUACCUUAGAGUAUCAAGGGCACUCUUAAGAACCUCUAACUUUUGCGGGUAAAUUAGUACCUUAGAGUAUCAAGGAACUCUUAAAAACCUAGAAAUCUUUCAAGGUAGAUUCGACCUAAGAGUUUUCCCGGAAACUCUAUAAAACCAAACUAGAGCUUUAUGGUUGAGCUCGAAAACCUUCUCUCACACUUUGGUACUAUUGAGACAACCCUCUAAACCAAAUUGGACACACACAAGAGGUGAUUAGAGGAGUGGAAUAUUAAAGCAAACAACACUUCUUACUUGUAAAGAUGAACAAGAAGAUUAGAAGAAGAAGUUGGAGAGCUUUUGAAGCUUUGGAAAGCUAGGACACUUGAGCACUUGAAAGCUUGGAAGCUUGGAGGCAAAAACGUGUGGGCAAGUGUGGAGUGAAAGCUCUUGAGUUUGCUUGUAGUGUGGUGGGUGAAAAUGAGGGGAUUGCCCUUCUAUUUAUAGCCUUGGCCACUCAAUGUCCACCCUUGGAUCUUCAAUGGAUGGCUCCUUGACUUCUUACAAAAAUCCAAGCUUUGUCUUUGAUCUCAUCUUGAAUUCUUGGAUAGUGUGUUGGUCUUAUCUCUUUGGAUAGUGUGUUGUCCUUAAG